rnacentral:rRNA from 1 species
ACGAACGCUGGCGGCAUGCCUAACACAUGCAAGUCGAACGAGACCUUCGGGUCUAGUGGCGCACGGGUGCGUAACGCGUGGGAAUCUGCCCUUGGGUACGGAACAACAGUUAGAAAUGACUGCUAAUACCGUAUAAUGACUUCGGUCCAAAGAUUUAUCGCCCAGGGAUGAGCCCGCGUAGGAUUAGCUUGUUGGUGAGGUAAAGGCUCACCAAGGCGACGAUCCUUAGCUGGUCNGAGAGGAUGAUCAGCCACACUGGGACUGAGACACGGCCCAGACUCCUACGGGAGGCAGCAGUGGGGAAUAUUGGACAAUGGGCGCAAGCCUGAUCCAGCGAUGCCGCGUGUGUGAAGAAGGCCUGCGGGUUGUAAAGCACUUUCAGUAGGGAAGAAAGACCGAGUGCUAAUAUCACUCGGUCUUGACGUUACUUCAGAAGAAGCACCGGCUAACUCCGUGCCAGCAGCCGCU